rnacentral:rRNA from 1 species
GACGAACGCUGGCGGCGUGCUUAACACAUGCAAGUCGAACGGAAAGGCCCGGCUUUUGUGGGUUUCUCGAGUGGCGAACGGGGGAGUAACACGUGAGUAACCUGCCCUUAACUUUGGGAUAACUUCAGGAAACUGGGGCUAAUACCGGAUAGAAUCUCCUGCUGCAUGGUGGGGGUUGGAAAGUUUCGGCGGUUGGGGAUGGACUCGCGGCUUAUCAGCUUGUUGGUGGGGUAGUGGCUUACCAAGGCUUUGACGGGUAGCCGGCCUGAGAGGGUGACCGGCGACAUUGGGACUGAGAUACGGCCCAGACUCCUACGGGAGGCAGCAGUGGGGAAUAUUGCACAAUGGGCGGAAGCCUGAUGCAGCAACGCCGCGUGCGGGAUGACGGCCUUCGGGUUGUAAACCGCUUUCGCCUGUGACGAAGCGUGAGUGACGGUAAUGGGUAAAGAAGCACCGGCUAACUACGUG